UACGGGGGGAGCAAGCGUUGUUCGGAUUUACUGGGCGUAAAGGGCGCGUAGGCGGUCAGCACAAGUCAGUUGUGAAAUCUCCGGGCUUAACUCGGAAAGGUCAACUGAUACUGUGCGACUAGAGUGCGGAAGGGGCAACUGGAAUUCUCGGUGUAGCGGUGAAAUGCGUAGAUAUCCGGAGGAACACCGGUGGCGAAGGCGGCUUCCUGGACCGACACUGACGCUGAGGCGCGAAAGCUAGGGGAGCAAACGGG
rnacentral:rRNA from 1 species